CCAUAGUUACAUGCUGGGGUAGCCAUAUUACAGUCAUAAAGGACCAUAGUUACAUGCUGGGGUAGCCAUUACAGUCAUAAAGGACCAUAGUUACAUGCUGGGGUAGCCAUAUCACAGUCAUAAAGGACCAUAGUUACAUGCUGGGGUAGCCAUAUCACAGUCGUAUAGGUCCAUAGUUACACACUAGGGUCUAGAGUCACAGUCAUAUAGGUCCAUAGUUACACACUGGGGUCUAGAGUCACAGUCAUAUAGGUCCAUUGUUACACACUAGGGUCUAGAGUCACAGUCAGUCAUAUGAGUUCAGUGUUAUACAGUGGGUCAGCCUUACAGGAGCUGUACAGUGGAGUUACUUUAUAACUGUCAUAUGGGUUUGGUGUUAUACAAUGGGUUCAGUUUUUCACAGUCACUUGGGACUUGUUUUAUACAGCGUGUUAGCUAUAUAUCGGUCUUAUAGUUAAAGGGUUACACGUAGGGUAGGUUCUACAACCAGGGGAAGUCAAUGGUAUUGAGUUAGGGGUUUAUGGAACCCUACACAGAUAGGUUGAGAUGUCCCUGCUUGGUCAGUAGCUAAAUGUUAGGACUGUGAUGAGUGGAUGGGAGUUGGAGGGGGUGUGAAAAUGGCUUUGUGUAGACAGAGAUGGAUAAUUAGGCAGGAGACCAUUUCUUUGUAGUAAGGUAGAAUACUUAAUGAACUAAAGUAUGUGUGAACUUGCUCCAUGUGUGAAUGUUGAUAUUCACUUGUUGGCAGAGAUUGUUCUCUGGUUGUCAUGGAGACCCAGCCUCACACUGAGUCUACUUCUUCGAUAAUUAAUUCAGGAAGGUCGGAAGUACUGUGUUCCUAAGAUGUAUUAAAAAGUGUGUUGUUAGUUAUGCUGUCAUGUUGUGAGAUGUUAGGUGACGAAUAUGUUUUUGAAUAUGUCAAUGUGGAUGAGAUAUUCAUUGAAACAUCUUACAAUGGCAGGUAAAACAACAAUGAUCCAAAGAUUUCUGUAAAUGAUUAUCAUUUUUUCAUCUUCCUUAUACUGACAAUAAAUCUUACAAACCAUC